rnacentral:rRNA from 1 species
CGCCUCUUGUUAAAUUAUAAGAGGUCCUGCCUGCCCAAUGAUUUAAUUUAAUGGCCGCGGUAUCUUAACCGUGCAAAGGUAGCAUAAUCAAUUGUCCCUUAAAUUAGGACUAGUAUGAAUGGCGCCACGAGGGUUUAGCUGUCUCCCUCUUUUAAUCAAUGAAAUUAAUUUUCCCGUGAAGAAGCGGGGAUAUAUAUAUAAGACGAGAAGACCCCAUGGAGCUUUAAACUUACAUCACUUAUUUAAUAUUAUAGCACACUAUUUAAUAAGAAUGCUCUCUAAUAGUUUUUGGUUGGGGCGACCCUGGAGAAAAAUAAAUCCUCCAGAUUGAAAGAAUAAUAAUCCUUAUACUAGAAUUACAAUUCAAAUAAACAAAAAUUUGACAAAACUGACCCAGAAUAUCUGAUCAGUGAACCAAGUUACCCUGGGGAUAACAGCGCAAUCCAUUUUAAGAGCCCAUAUCGACAAAUGGGUUUACGACCUCGAUGUUGGAUCGGGGUAUCCUAGCAGCGCAGCCGUUGCUAAUGGUUCGUUUGUUCAACGAUUAACAUCCC